CAACCAUCAGGCCUCCCAGAGAGAAUCGAGGAACUGAAAUCUCCCAUAUCACCACAUCCAGACAAUGAGACAUGGCUGCUGCCUGUUGACAAACUCCUCUUCUUUAUACCUCCCGAAUUUCUGUUUUCCUGCAUAUGGUUACGUCCAAUAGGUCAGCGGCAUAGUGGCGCCCCAGAACACGGACUUCGAGGACGUGAACGAAGGUCUGCUGGAGCAGAGGAACUGAAUUUGACAAGGCAAACGGGGACCCCAGGACGAGUCUGCCGGCAGUGGAUAUAAGGUCGGUGCCCUAAAGAGGUAAUAGGAGCAGUGCUUUAAAGAAGUACUGGGAACGGGAAGUUUUCUGAAUCAGGGUAACAAGGGGAAGAAUUCGUCUAUUAAAGAAAAACAUUGCUCUCCCUCUCCCCACGGUCUCCCUCUCCCUCUCUUUCCACGGUCUCCCUCUGAUGCCGAGCCAAAGCUGGACUGUACUGCUGCCAUCUCGGCUCACUGCAACCUCCCUGCCUGAUUCUCCUGCCUCAGCCUGCCGAGUCCCUGCGAUUGCAGGCGCGUGCCGCCACGCCUGACUGGUUUUCGUAUUUUUUUGGUGGAGACGGGGUUUCGCUGUGUUGGCCGGGCUGGUCUCCAGCUCCUAACCGCGAGUGAUCCGCCAGCCUCGGCCUCCAGAGGUGCCGGGAUUGCAGACGGUGUCUGGUUCACUCAGUGCUCAAUGGUGCCCAG
rnacentral:lncRNA from 1 species